GGCGAGGUAGCUCAGCUGGCUAGAGCGUAGGAUUCAUAACCCUAAGGUCGAGAGUUCAAGUCUCUCUCUCGCCA
rnacentral:tRNA from 1 species